rnacentral:lncRNA from 1 species
GCAUUUUAUCGAACGCUUAGCACGCGUACAUUAACAACGCGCUAUGCACAAAUUCUUUUUGGCACUUUGUCUAACACUUGGCGUGUGCACAUAAAUUAUCCAUCACGCACAGCUUGUUUUUGACAAAAGCCAAUUCAAAAUAGCGGCAAUCAAUAAUUUGAUUGGAGCUUUCCGUCGACGGCUAAGCGUCAAACGUAAUAGUCGUCGUCGUUGUCGUCGUCUACCGCUAACGGCUAAGCGUCAAGCGGAUGAUCAUCGUCGUCGUCGGCUUUACCGCCGACGGCUACGCGUCAAGCGGAUCGUCGUUGUCGUUGUUGUUUACCACCGACGGGUAAGCGUCAAGCAGAUGAUCAUCGUCGUCGUCGCCUUUACUGCCGAUGGCUAAGCAUCAAGCGGAUCGUCGUCGUCGUUGUCGUCGUCGUCUUCUACCGCCGACGGCGAAGCGUCAAGCGGAUGAUCCUCGUUGUCGUUGUCGUCGUCUACCGCCGACGGCUAUGCGUCAAGCGGAUGAUCAUCGUCGUCGUUGUCGUCAUCUACCGCCGACGGCUAUGCAUCAAGCGGAUGAUCGUCGUUGUCAUUGUCGUUUACCGCCGACGGGUAAGCGUCAAGCGGAUGAUCAUCGUCGUCGUUGCCUUUACCGCCGACGGCUAAGCGUCAAGCGGAUUGUCGUCGUCGUUGUUGUCAUCUACCACUGACGGCUAAGCAUUAAGCGGAUCGUCGUCGUCAUUGUCGUCGUCAUCUUCUACCGCCGACGGUGAAGCGUCAAGCGGAUGAUCCUCGUCGUCGUUGUCGUCGUCUACCGCGGACGGCUAUGCGUCAAGCGGAUGAUCGUCGUCGUCGUUGUCGUCGUCUACCGCCGACGGCUAUGCGUCAAGCGGACGAUCGUCGUCGUCGUUGUCAUCGUCUACCGCCGACGGCUAAGCGUCAAGCGGAUCGUCGUCGUCGUUGUUGUCGUCUACCGUCGACGGCUAAGCGUCAAGCGGAUGAUCAUCGUUGUCGUCGCCUUUACCGCUGACGACUAAGCGUCAAGCGGAUCGUCGUCGUCGUUGUCGUCGCCGCCUUUACCGCUAACGGCGAAGCGUCAAGCGGAUCGUCGCCGUCGUUGUCGUCGGCGCAGCAACAGCAGGUGGAUGACCACCUCCUUGGUCGAUGAUGACGCCACACUAGCAAAAGGGAACGUGCACCACUUCGGGAUCAACGACGACGGGUCAACGACAGUCAGCAAUGGUGUCGGAAUGGCGACGAGUGGUCGUCUUUUCUUGGUUGACGAUGACCCGACGUAGUAGAGGUUGAUGACGGCAUGUAUAGCCCGGUGUGCAUAGAAAGCUCGAUGUAUGGAGUGCUUUGACUAGGAGAGAAAAAAAAAAUAAAGAAAUAAAAGUGAGAGGAUCUAAACCCACCUUUCUCUUUGGCUCUUUUUUUUUUUAUCCAAGUUUUUUUUCUCUCUUUUUUUUUUGAGAGUAGAAUCCUCUCCCCCAUUUUUUUUUUGUGAGUAGAAUCCUCUCCUCUUCUUUUUUUUUGUGAGUAGAAUCCUCUCCCCCUUUUUUUUUGUUCACUUCUCUUUAUAUAGAGAGAGGGUGGUGGAAAUCUAUGGUGUAGAGAAGAGUAAAUAAUGGAGGAGUGGAGGGAAUGGAGGAGUGAUGGAGAAGUGGGAGAAAAUAGUGGAGAAGUGGAGAAAAUGGUGGAGAAGUGGAGUGGUGUAGGGAAUGGUGGAGAAGUGUGGAGAAGUGGAGAAAAUGGUGGAGAAGUGGAGUGGUGUAGGGAAUGGUGGAGAAGUGUGGAGAAGUGGAGAAAAUGGUAGAGAAGUGGGGUGGUGGAAGGAAUGGUGGAGAAGUGUGGAGAAGUGGAGAAAAUGGUGGAGAAGUGGAGUGAGUGAUGGAGAAGUGGUGGGAAUGGUGAGAAAGUGGAGGGAAUGGUGGAGAGAGUGGUAGAAAUGGAGGGAAUGGUAGGAGAUAGUGGAGGAGUGAAUUUAGGGAAGUGAUCUUUUCUUUCUUUUUUUUUGUGUUAACAUAAGUCUACAGAAAUAUGUGCAAGAGAUAGUAAUGAAAGCUGUAAAACCUUACAGCUACAUGUCUCUAUACUAUCACUAACCAACAUAGGUUAUCUGUAGAUAUGAAAGAUGCCUCACUUU